AUGGGGGAAAGCCGGGCCCAAUAUGAUGAAGAUUAUAAUUUAAGGAAUAGCGAUGUUUCUUCCAAUACAACAAGAAAUGUAAAGUUGAUGCUGAUACUUCUGUUGAAUGUAUGGAGGUUAUAUUGCUCUGUUUUUGCUUUCUGCAAAAAUUAAACACAUGUGCGUCAUUGGGUUAACGUUAGAUUGUUCGGUUAAGAUAUUAAUGGAGUGAGGCAGUGAGCGAGAAGGAUAGGGGUGUAUGUGUAUCUUACAUCAGGCAGUCGGAUGAGAUUAAAAAAGUGUGGAAGCUGGCAAGUUAUUUAUUUAAGAACCUCGACAUUGAGUAUCUUCAAACAGGGUAACUCAGCAUGUAAAAGGGUAUGCUUGGCAGAUCCAUUUGUACGAACUGCAUCCAUAAAGCUCAAUGAUCUGUACACACAAGCGCAGCCUGUUAAAUCACAUCGGAAAGAGGCGCACAUGAAAAUUGUAAUUGUAGAAUUUAUGAUCACAAUGCAUGUUUUAAAGUGAAAGUAAGUAUAAGGAGAUAAUUCUAUCGACAUAUAAAUUGCAUGGCAGCAGAAAUAACAACUAAAGCUUAAACUUUUCAUCUGUGUUCUUUACAAGUUUAAUGGAAAGCUGUAACAGGACAAAUUGCUAAGAUAAAAUUUCAAGACUUGAUAUUAAACUAAGCUCAUAAAACAUUAAGGUUACCAUUAUCAGGGCAUUUGCUAUGCCAAUGAAUACAGAAUAUCAACAAUAUAUUGUGUAAGCUCUUCAAUCGCUCCUGCAUAUAAUACAACUAUUAGAUGACUUGUUAGCAUUAUAUUUCUUACAUUGUCCUUCUCUUCAAGUAGAAGGUCUUUAUUUUAAAUGGAAACAAUGCUUAGAAAGAUACCAAGGCUUUUGAAGAUGGCUAAUGGGUAGGUAAAUUUGAAAACCGAUAUCCGAUAGGCCAAACUAUUAAGUGAAAUUAUCCGUUCGAUAAGCAGCCUAAUUCUACAUAAGAAUAUAUUUUAAAUUUGAAAAGAGUUACAUUCAAAAGAAGUCAGGUAAGCACAUAAACAAGAGCAGCUUGGUGAUAGAAAAUCUUUUUAAACCAAUACAUCCAAGAAAUUCUAACAUAACCUUUGCAAGUAAAGAAUUGGGAAAAGAAACUUUAGUAUCAGUCCAUAUGCAUUUAUAAAAGUACAUCACUAACGCGUCGAGUCGAAGAGAAGAAAUUGUUGUUGCAAAUUUGAGAAUGGAUGUUUUUGACGCAGCUGAAACAUGUUUUCUGGAAAAAAAUUGAAGAUACUUCCUAACUUGAAUAGCUUACAGAGACGUUUGUCCUGAAAUAAAUGCCCAUGAUUUUCAAGGUCAUUGAUGAAGAAGUAAGAACACAUCUUAAUCCACAUUGUUAACGUGGAGUGGUAAAAUAUUAGGAGCCUAUCAGCUUCGGUUGUCCUAUAAACAUGAGGAGUAGUCGAUCAACAAAUUACUUUUCUGGUGAAGAGACUUUCAUUCAGUUGUUCAGCAGAAAAAUGAUUCUUGUUGUAUGAUAUUUUAAGGAUCACUCAAAGCUUAAAAUACUUUCAACUUAAGUUGAGAUUGGUACAACCAUUUAUAAACUUCAAAUUUUGAAUCCUUUAUCCACAUACCUACUCUUAACUAAGAAAUUAAGUGGACGCAAGAAUUAACUACAAUCAAGAGUUACAUAUUCACUUUCUGUUAACUUGUUCUCUGUUGUUGGAGCUAUUGUAUUUCCAAUAAAAGUAUCUAAUUAAUCAAGGUUGUAGGAAGGCUACUCUUCUUUUUUGUCAAUCGAGUCGCUUUCCCUCAUUCCACUCAUUCAAUAUCAUUGAACAAAUCCGUAUGGGCAUGUGUGUAUUUCCCCUAUUUUGUGGCAUCCAACCAUAGGCACUUGAAGAGUGGUAGAUGAGUCAGUGUACUGUGUGUUAUAAAGAAAGAAAAUUCUUUCUCUCUAUUUUAGCAUCUUGCUCUUUCAUCAACAGAAGAGACACUCAUAUCUCUUCUUCUCUAUUUAGCUCUAAAUUAUAACUCUUCUGCCUCCUUGUGUGUGGUGUUGUAUCAGGUAAAUGAUUAUACUGGCUAUUGUUAUUGAUGAAUUACAUUAACAACAGACAUAAAUCAAUAGGCCACACUUUCACUUUCAGAUAACUAUUAUAGACCAAGCCUCCAUAUCAGCUGACAAUAGUUGUAGAACUUAAAUUUUGAGCUGGAGGUCAACGAACUGACCUUCUUGUAAAAGAAUGUGUUAAAGAAAUGACAUUUGAAGAACCUCCGGGGUUCCCUUCUCUCUCUCUCUCUCUUUUAGCCGUUCAAGAUACACAUUCAUAAUCUACAAAAAAAAAUUCGUUUUAUUCUUUCUUCUUUUCCAUAUUCAGCUUCACUAAAUCUUAAACUCUCUUACUCCUGGAUAGGGAACUGAACAUAAAGUAUCAGCUCAUAGUUUAACCAUGCCCCAGGUGUCAAAUAUUGCAAUAUUUC
rnacentral:lncRNA from 1 species